rnacentral:rRNA from 1 species
AUUGAACGCUGGCGGCAGGCUUAACACAUGCAAGUCGAACGUGUGGCGGACUUGUGAGUAAUUCUUGGGAAUCUUGCUUAUGGAGGGGGAUAACUACGGGCAACUGUAGCUAAUUCCCCGUUCCAUAGUAUGAGCCCAAGUGGGCUUAGGUCGUUGGUUAGGUAAAGGCUCACCAAGCCGACGAUCUCUAGCUGGUCUGCGAGGAUGACCAGCCACACUGGGACUGAGACACGGCCCAGACUCCUACGGGAGGCAGCAGUGGGGAAUAGUGCGCAAUGGGGGCAACCUGACGCAGCCAUGCCGCGUGAAUGAAGAAGGCCUUCGGGUUGUAAAGUUCUUUCGGUAGCGAGGCGUUAACUACAGAAGAAGCACCGGCUAACUCCGUGCCAGCAGCCGCGGUAAUAG